AUUGAACGCUGGCGGCAUGCCUUACACAUGCAAGUCGAACGGUAACGGGCCUUCGGGUGCCGACGAGUGGCGAACGGGUGAGUAAUGCAUCGGAACGUACCUUUCAGUGGGGGAUAACGUAGCGAAAGUUACGCUAAUACCGCAUAUUCUGUGAGCAGGAAAGCAGGGGAUCGCAAGACCUUGCGCUGAUUGAGCGGCCGAUGUCAGAUUAGCUAGUUGGGUGAGGUUAAAAGGCUUCACCAAGGCGACGAUCUGUAGCGGGUCUGAGAGGAUGAUCCGCCACACUGGAACUGAGACACGGUCCAGACUCCUACGGGAGGCAGCAGUGGGGAAUAUUGCACAAUGGGCGAAAGCCUGAUGCAGCGACGCCGCGUGAGGGAUGACGGCC
rnacentral:rRNA from 1 species